AGCAGAAGUGACAUGUUUAGUUUUGAUGCUGCUUUUGACAAGACAUGCUUGUAUUUAUACAUGAUGUUAUCUUAUUUUCUGUUCUCUUUUUUAUUUUAUUUUUUUCUGGGCCUGAUCAGGAACAGAAGCUGAAGAAAGGAAGUCAAGAGGCAAAUCAUUUGCUGGAGAGUUGACGCUUGCUUUCAUCUUAUUCACAUACUGGCAUCAGAAAAAUGACAUUACUUUAAUAGUAACAAAAAAAAACAACAACACAUAAAACAAGGUAUAUUAUCCUUCCUUAGUGUUUAAUCUGGUUUGUUUUGUCAUCACAUAAAUUCAGAUUAUGAGGAGGAAAUGCACUUUUUAGCUGUUAAACUACCGUCGUCCUGGUAUGUGCCACACAGUGUUUGCUUUUUUCAGUUGAUAAAUAUAUGAUAUGCUGUUUUAUGUUUUAUUUCUGCCAAUAAUGUUAACAAUUCAAUCAGUUACUCAUUUACAUUUACUAACACACACCCUUCCCUGUUCUCUGAACACAUGUAUCAGUAAUGUAAACAUUUUUCUUUAUACAUUAAAUCUUGGUUUGUA